GGUUAAGUUAGAAAGGGCGCACGGUGGAUGCCUUGGCACUAGGAGCCGAUGAAGGACGGGACGAACACCGAUAUGCUUCGGGGAGCUGUAAGCAAGCUUUGAUCCGGAGAUUUCCGAAUGGGGAAACCCACCACUCGUAAUGGAGUGGUAUCCAUAUCUGAAUACAUAGGAUAUGAGAAGGCAGACCCGGGGAACUGAAACAUCUAAGUACCCGGAGGAAGAGAAAGCAAAUGCGAUUCCCUGAGUAGCGGCGAGCGAAACGGGACCAGCCCAAACCAAGAGGCUUGCCUCUUGGGGUUGUAGGACACUCUGUACGGAGUUACAAAGGAACGAGGUAGAUGAAGAGGUCUGGAAAGGCCCGCCAUAGAAGGUAACAGCCCUGUAGUCAAAACUUCGUUCUCUCCUGAGUGGAUCCUGAGUACGGCGGAACACGUGAAAUUCCGUCGGAAUCCGGGAGGACCAUCUCCCAAGGCUAAAUACUCCCUAGUGACCGAUAGUGAACCAGUACCGUGAGGGAAAGGUGAAAAGCACCCCGGAAGGGGAGUGAAAGAGAUCCUGAAACCGUGUGCCUACAAGUAGUCAGAGCCCGUUAACGGGUGAUGGCGUGCCUUUUGUAGAAUGAACCGGCGAGUUACGAUCCCGUGCAAGGUUAAGCAGAAGAUGCGGAGCCGCAGCGAAAGCGAGUCUGAAUAGGGCGAAUUGAGUACGUGGUCGUAGACCCGAAACCAGGUGAUCUACCCAUGUCCAGGGUGAAGUUCAGGUAACACUGAAUGGAGGCCCGAACCCACGCACGUUGAAAAGUGCGGGGAUGAGGUGUGGGUAGGGGUGAAAUGCCAAUCGAACCUGGAGAUAGCUGGUUCUCUCCGAAAUAGCUUUAGGGCUAGCCUCAAGGUAAGAGUCUCGGAGGUAGAGCACUGAUUGGACUAGGGGCCCCUACCGGGUUACCGAAUUCAGUCAAACUCCGAAUGCCGAUGACUUAUCCUUGGGAGUCAGACUGCGAGUGAUAAGAUCCGUAGUCGAAAGGGAAACAGCCCAGACCGCCAGCUAAGGUCCCAAAGUAUACGUUAAGUGGAAAAGGAUGUGGAGUUGCUUAGACAACCAGGAUGUUGGCUUAGAAGCAGCCACCAUUUAAAGAGUGCGUAAUAGCUCACUGGUCGAGUGACUCUGCGCCGAAAAUGUACCGGGGCUAAACGUAUCACCGAAGCUGCGGACUGUUCUUCGAACAGUGGUAGGAGAGCGUUCUAAGGGCUGUGAAGCAAGACCGGAAGGACUUGUGGAGCGCUUAGAAGUGAGAAUGCCGGUAUGAGUAGCGAAAGAGGGGUGAGAAUCCCCUCCACCGAAUGCCUAAGGUUUCCUGAGGAAGGCUCGUCCGCUCAGGGUUAGUCGGGACCUAAGCCGAGGCCGAAAGGCGUAGGCGAUGGAUAACAGGUUGAUAUUCCUGUACCACCUCCUCACCAUUUGAGCAAUGGGGGGACGCAGGAGGAUAGGGUAAGCGCGGUAUUGGAUAUCCGCGUCCAAGCAGUUAGGCUGGGAAAUAGGCAAAUCCGUUUCCCGUGAAGGCUGAGCUGUGAUGGCGAGCGAAUUAUAGUAGCGAAGUUCCUGAUUCCACACUGCCAAGAAAAGCCUCUAGCGAGGUGAGAGGUGCCCGUACCGCAAACCGACACAGGUAGGCGAGGAGAGAAUCCUAAGGUGAUCGAGAGAACUCUCGUUAAGGAACUCGGCAAAAUGACCCCGUAACUUCGGGAGAAGGGGUGCUCUGUUAGGGUGCAAGCCCGAGAGAGCCGCAGUGAAUAGGCCCAGGCGACUGUUUAGCAAAAACACAGGUCUCUGCGAAGCCGUAAGGCGAAGUAUAGGGGCUGACGCCUGCCCGGUGCUGGAAGGUUAAGAGGAGCGCUUAGCGUAAGCGAAGGUGCGAAUUGAAGCCCCAGUAAACGGCGGCCGUAACUAUAACGGUCCUAAGGUAGCGAAAUUCCUUGUCGGGUAAGUUCCGACCCGCACGAAAGGCGCAACGAUCUGGGCACUGUCUCAACGAGAGACUCGGUGAAAUUAUAGUACCUGUGAAGAUGCAGGUUACCCGCGACAGGACGGAAAGACCCCGUGGAGCUUUACUGCAGCCUGAUAUUGAAUGUUGGUACAGCUUGUACAGGAUAGGUAGGAGCCUUGGAAACCGGAGCGCCAGCUUCGGUGGAGGCAUCGGUGGGAUACUACCCUGGCUGUAUUGACCUUCUAACCCGCCGCCCUUAUCGGGCAGGGAGACAGUGUCAGGUGGGCAGUUUGACUGGGGCGGUCGCCUCCUAAAAGGUAACGGAGGCGCCCAAAGGUUCCCUCAGAAUGGUUGGAAAUCAUUCGCAGAGUGUAAAGGCACAAGGGAGCUUGACUGCGAGACCUACAAGUCGAGCAGGGACGAAAGUCGGGCUUAGUGAUCCGGUGGUUCCGCAUGGAAGGGCCAUCGCUCAACGGAUAAAAGCUACCCCGGGGAUAACAGGCUUAUCUCCCCCAAGAGUCCACAUCGACGGGGAGGUUUGGCACCUCGAUGUCGGCUCAUCGCAUCCUGGGGCUGUAGUCGGUCCCAAGGGUUGGGCUGUUCGCCCAUUAAAGCGGUACGCGAGCUGGGUUCAGAACGUCGUGAGACAGUUCGGUCCCUAUCCGUCGCGGGCGCAGGAAAUUUGAGAGGAGCUGUCCUUAGUACGAGAGGACCGGGAUGGACGCACCGCUGGUGUACCAGUUGUUCUGCCAAGGGCAUCGCUGGGUAGCUAUGUGCGGACGGGAUAAGUGCUGAAAGCAUCUAAGCAUGAAGCCCCCCUCAAGAUGAGAUUUCCCAUUCCGCAAGGAAGUAAGAUCCCUGAAAGAUGAUCAGGUUGAUAGGUCUGAGGUGGAAGUGUGGCGACACAUGGAGCUGACAGAUACUAAUCGAUCGAGGACUUAACCAA
rnacentral:rRNA from 1 species